rnacentral:rRNA from 1 species
UUGAAUUGAAGAGUUUGAUCAUGGCUCAGAUUGAACGCUGGCGGCAGGCUUAACACAUGCAAGUCGAACGGUAGCAGGAAGAAAGCUUGCUUUCUUUGCUGACGAGUGGCGGACGGGUGAGUAAUGCUUGGGAAUCUGGCUUAUGGAGGGGGAUAACUG